rnacentral:tRNA from 1 species
GGUGGCUCAGUGGUAGAGCGCUUACCUUGCAUGCAUGAGACCCUGGGUUCGAUUCUCAGCACCA